GACGAACGCUGGCGGCGUGCUUAACACAUGCAAGUCGAACGGAAAGGCCCUGCUUUUGUGGGGUGCUCGAGUGGCGAACGGGUGAGUAACACGUGAGUAACCUGCCCUUGACUUUGGGAUAACUUCAGGAAACUGGGGCUACUACCGGAUAGGAGCUCCUGCUGCAUGGUGGGGGUUGGAAAUUUUCGGCGGUUGGGGAUGGACUCGCGGCUUAUCAGCUUGUUGGUGGGGUAGUGGCUUACCAAGGCUUUGACGGGUAGCCGGCCUGAGAGGGUGACCGGCCACAUUGGGACUGAGAUACGGACCAGACUCCUACGGGAGGCAGCAGUGGGGAAUAUUGCACAAUGGGCGGAAGCCUGAUGCAGCAACGCCGCGUGCGGGAUGACGGCCUUCGGGUUGUAAACCGCUUUCGCCUGUGACGAAGCGUGAGUGACGGUAAUGGGUAAAGAAGCACCGGCUAACUACGUG
rnacentral:rRNA from 1 species